GCCUGGGUGGCUCAGUCAGUUGAGCGACUGACUUCAGCUCAGGUCAUGACUUCACGGAUUGUGGGUUCAAGCCCCACAUCAGGCU
rnacentral:tRNA from 1 species